AGCCACCCACAUCUCAUAAUUGCGGCGAGAUUCAUGAGGCGGUGAAUUAAUGAAUCUCUAAAAUUUUCUCUACCAAAUAAUGCAAAUUAAAUGCUCCGAUCUGAAAAUUGGACUGGAUGCCAAGGUUGAGUCUCGAAGUCAACUACUUCCUUUGCUUGAAGUGAUGAAGUCAUUUCGGGCUCGGAAGUGGGGAGGUAAAUGUUAUGGGAGGAAUUUAUCGCUCAACCUCGACCUUCCUUUCAUCAGGUUAUGAUUGAAAGAAAGAUAAAGGACUUUUUCAGAGGUCAGGAAGAGAAGACUGUGGAAUCAAACUGAAAUGAUUCUAUGUCAUCGGCUACUACCCAACCCCU
rnacentral:lncRNA from 1 species